rnacentral:rRNA from 1 species
AUUGAACGCUGGCGGCAGGCUUAACACAUGCAAGUCGAGCGGAGAGAGGUAGCUUGCUACUGAUCUUAGCGGCGGACGGGUGAGUAAUGCUUAGGAAUCUGCCUAUUAGUGGGGGACAACAUUUCGAAAGGAAUGCUAAUACCGCAUACGUCCUACGGGAGAAAGCAGGGGAUCUUCGGACCUUGCGCCAAUAGAUGAGCCUAAGUCGGAUUAGCUAGUUGGGGGGGUAAAGGCCUACCAAGGCGACGAUCUGUAGCGGGUCUGAGGGGAUGAUCCGCCACACUGGGACUGAGACACGGCCCAGACUCCUACGGGAGGCAGCAGUGGGGAAUAUUGGACAAUGGGCGGAAGCCUGAUCCAGCCAUGCCGCGUGUGUGAAGAAGGCCUUAUGGUUGUAAAGCACUUUAAGCGAGGAGGAGGCUACUUUAGUUAAUACCUAGAGAUAGUGGACGUUACUCGCAGAAUAAGCACCGGCUAACUCUGUGCCAGCAGCCGCGGUAACAC